ACUCCGCAGGCGGCCGGCCCCCAGGCUGGGCUGGGCGAGUGGCUCUUCGAAAGGCUCACCCCCAAGCAUCACCAGGAGC
rnacentral:pre_miRNA from 1 species